rnacentral:lncRNA from 1 species
GUGAAUAUUUGAGUAAUGUUCGAAUCCAGAUUAUGAGAAGAAACAACUAGUCAACUAAAUAAAGAUAAAAAUACUUCACUACUCAUUUACUAUGGAGAAAAUAAAAAAUAUAUUAUGUAUUCAUGUUAUGUAACGUUAUGAGAGUAUAAUACUGAAAGUUUUUAGUAUUAAAUGACUGAUUCUCUCUGCAGCACCAGGCCAACACAAGGGGCGCAUUAACUUACCUGCAGAUAUAGAACCCACAACCUCAGCUCUGGCAGAAGAGGGAACACCUGCCUGGCUGAUUAUCUUUGCGUUCUGCAUGACUCUCGGCGCCAUUCUCUGCAUAUUCGCCGGCAUCGCCACUAAAGACAUGUGGUACGGGCCGAGUAGGCGGAGUCUGAAUGUGGCGGGGGAGGUUGAUGAGAGCAGUAAGGCGGCGACGCUGCCGCUGUCGGAGAAAGAGCAGGAGCUGGUGACGCUGAUGAACGGAGGACAGAAGACUGAUAAAGACUCGGCAGUUAUUUCUGUAGAUGAAGCUCCUGAGAAAGAGUAUCUGAUGUAGCCGACCAAUCACAGGGCUUGGAUCUGAACCGGCGUAGAGAUCACAACCAGAUUAAACCAGGAGCUUCAACUGAGCGUUCAGAGUGAUCCUGAAAUACUCCAUAUCCCAGCAGGCAUUUCAACAGGGAAUCAACAGUGAUGUUACGGUUGAGGUUAAAGUUGAAUCAACAUUGGAUCAGCGCUGAUUUUAUGGUUAAAACAACAACAUUGAAUUAACAUUCAUAUUAUGGUUGAAUCAACAUUGAAUCCAUGUUGAUUUUUUGGUUGAAUCAGCAUUAAGAUUAUGGUUAAAUCAACACUAAAUUAACUUUAAUGAAUGGAUGAGUCAACAUUGAGUCAACAUUGAUGUUAUGGUUGAAUCAAGGUUAAAUCAAUGUUGAUGUGGUUUAAUUAACAUUGAAUCAACAUUGAUUGUCAUGGUUGAAUUAACGUUGAAUCAAUUUGGUUUAAUGAACAAUGAUGUUAAAGUUGAAUCAAUGUUGAAUCAUCGUUGAUUUUAUAGUUGAAUCAACAUUGAAUUAACAUUGAUGUUAUGGUUGAAUCAACAUGGAUUCAGGUGGUUUCAGGUGGACCUGAGUUCUAAAGAAUCUUAAAAAGCCUUAAAUGACAUUAAUUAUCAUUAAAACACCUUAAUUUAUUUUAUAAUGUCUUAAAUCCAUCUCUCAAAGACAGAAUAUUUAAUUUCUGUUUUAUUUUCACACAAUACAAAUACAAUAUAAACAAUAGAUUCAAAAUCAUGUUUUUAAAUUAGUAUUGAACCAAUGCAAAAUCGAAUCCUGACGUUAAAGAUCAACGUUUGUUUAAUGUAUUAGAGAUAAAACAGAAAUAUAAACGUUGAUUGAACAUGCUGUUGCUGCCUGGGUUGGUAUUUUAAUUAUUAAAAUUUAAAAUUAAUUUAAUUUAUGGCUGUUUAUAAUAUUGAUACAGGAAUCAUAAGUUUACUGUAAAGUUAAUAUUGUUAUUGUGUGAUUUUUUGCUAUUGAAUAAGUGUCUCUAAGUAUUAAUGUUUUUUACAUUUAGCUUCUCUAUACCUGCAGAUAUCCUGUUCCCAUACAGUGCCUGCGUUACUGAUCACUUUAUCACAGGAAAACCAAACUCUACCAUGUUUUAUUAUUCUUUAUUCGCAGAUUGUUCAUUAUUUUAGGUCAAAAGCUUUAAAUUUGCACAUUUUGCUGCUUUUUUCCCCUAAUUUUCCCCUACUUACCACCGUACAUGUGUUACUGCUGAGCUUUAUUAGGCUACUAAACAAAGCAUUGUAAAUAUAUAUAUCUACAGUAACUGUAAGUACUGUGUACUAUGAGUGAUGUAUGAAUACUUUCAGACGAUCGAAUGAUCAAUUGAUCAAAUAUUAAUGAUGAUUAAGUGCUUUUAAUAAAUGCUUUUCUUUGAUGUAAUUAAUAAUAGUA